rnacentral:rRNA from 1 species
GACGAACGCUGGCGGCGUGCUUAACACAUGCAAGUCGAACGGAAAGGCCCUGCUUUUGUGGGGUGCUCGAGUGGCGAACGGGUGAGUAACACGUGAGUAACCUGCCCUUGACUUUGGGGUAACUUCAGGAAACUGGGGCUAAUACCGGAUAGGAGCUCCUGCUGCAUGGUGGGGGUUGGAAAGUUUCGGCGGUUGGGGAUGGACUCGCGGCUUAUCAGCUUGUUGGUGGGGUAGUGGCUUACCAAGGCUUUGACGGGUAGCCGGCCUGAGAGGGUGACCGGGGAGAUGGGGAGAGAGAUAGGGCCCAGACGGCAACGGGAGGCAGAAGUGGGGAGUGUGGCACAGUGGGCGGAAGUCUGAUGCAGCAGCGCCGCGUGCGGGAUGAGGGCCUGCGGGUAGUGAACCGAUUUCGACUGUGACGAAGCGUGAGGGACGGUAAGGGGUAAAGAAGCACCGGCUAACUACGUG